CUGAUCAUCGACCACAACUGGAAUCCCCCCAGCAGAGUUGUUGGCGGCAGCGGUGUUGACAGGCGGAAGAGCAGACAUGGUUAAUGAGAGAACAAGACAAGAGCAAGAGAAGAAUCGCGAAACGAAUGACUUGGUUUGAAGAAAUGAAUGCUGGUGGUGGCUUUAUAGCAGCAGCAACACAGUCACAGGGUGAGUGAGUGAGUGAGUGAGAAAGUGGAGAUUAUCAAUAAAGGUAAUUCUGGAAAAGUUUGUCCUUAUCCGGAUGCAGGGGAGCGGGAACUGGGAACUAGUGUUGAAAAAUUGUGGGCACAAUUAUAACAUUGCAAUAUUUGGAGGGCCUUUUUAUGAUUUCAGAGUAAAUAAUCGCGUCUUUUGGAAUACAUGGAAACAUUUUGAAUGAGCGAACAAUCAAGGGUUAAAAAUCGUGUGUGUCUGUUCUAUCUUUGAUUUGGUUGUAAUCAUACAAAUUUCUUCAAUCAAUCCCUACCAUAUAAUGCCAAGUUCAAAUCUAACUUAUGAAAUCAAUAAUGCAUCAAUAUUGUAAACAUACGAAGAAGAAGAAGAAGAAGAAAAAGUAGCAGAAGAAGAAAGGGGGUGAUACCUCGCCGGAAUGAACAAAACAUCGGUGGAGAUAGUUCUCUUCCAUCCAGAGUCAAGGAACCUCGUCGGAGGUGGAAGGCACGAGCAUAUUGCGGUUGAGGAAGGCUGAGACGGCGGCAUCAUGCGAGGGUUCUGGUGGAAGCGGUUUCCGGCACGGCGAAGAUGAAAAUGGAUCUUUGUUGUGG
rnacentral:lncRNA from 1 species